rnacentral:misc_RNA from 1 species
GGAAGGAUCAUUCAUAAUAAGUGUUUUAUGGCACUUUUUAAAUCUAUAUCCACCUUGUGUGCAAUGUCAGUCGAUCUGCUUUAUGAAGAUCGACCAAACAUCAACCUAAUUUUUUAACUCUUUGUCUGAAAAAUAUUAUGAAUAAAAUAAUUCAAAAUACAACUUUCAACAACGGAUCUCUUGGCUCUCGCAUCGAUGAAGAACGCAGCGAAAUGCGAUACGUAAUGUGAAUUGCAGAAUUCAGUGAAUCAUCGAAUCUUUGAACGCAUAUUGCGCUCUUUGGUAUUCCGAAGAGCAUGCUUGUUUGAGUAUCAGUAAACACCUCAAAGCUUUUGAUUUUUUUUAAAGUUUUGAACUUGAGCAAUCCCAACACCAAUCUUUUUCAGAUCGGCGGCGGGUUGCUUGAAAUGCAGGUGCAGCUGGACAUUCUCCUGAGCUAAAGCAUAUUUAUUUAGUCCCGUCAAUCGGAUUAUUACUUUUGCUGCAGCUAAUAUAAAGGGAGUUUGACCGUAUUGGCUGACUGAUGCAGGAUUUCACAAGGGUCGGUAACGAUUCUUGUAAAACUCGAUCUUAAAUCAAGUAAGACUACCCGCUGAACUUAAGCAUAUCAAUAAGCGGAGGAAAAGAAACUAACAAGGAUUCCCCUAGUAACGGUGAGUGAAGCGGGAUGAGCUCAAAUUUUAAAUCUCGCUGGUUUACUAGUCCGAAUUGUAGUUUAUAGAAGCGUUUUCGGUGGCAGCCUGGGUAUAAAUCCUUUGGAAUAGGGUAUCAUAGAGGGUGAGAAUCCCGUCUUUGACUCAGUGCAUGCUACUAUGUGAUACGUUUUCAAAGAGUCGAGUUGUUUGGGAAUGCAGCUCAAAAUGGGUGGUAAAAAUGCAAUAGGUAACGUGAGUGCAAGAAGGGCUAACAAGAGGAGACAAAGAAAGGAGCAGGAGGGAACAGAAGAUGGAGCUUUGAAUGAGGAUCUUUGUUACUAAUGUACAGGAUAUAUAAAUACAAAUGCUAAUCUGAGAUGGUGAUGGAUAGGGAUCGAUGGAUUAUGAUCUAAUCUGUUGCAGUAAAUUUCAUCUAAGGCUAAAUAUUGGCGAGAGACCAAUAGCGAACAAGUACCGUGAGGGAAAGAUGAAAAGAACUUUGAAAAGAGAGUUAAACAGUGCGUGAAAUUGUUGAAAGGGAAACGUUUGACACCAGUUAUGCGGGUGGAAAAUCUGUCUUUUGCAAUGGGGAGUUGUGGGCGUUCAGACCGCAAGGCUGGCGUUUGCUUCAUCUUUGUUGUAAGUGAUGCACUUUUUUAUUUGCAGGUCAACAUCAGUUUGCUUUGCUGGACAAAACCCCAAGGGAAGGUGGCAGCUUAGGCUGUGUUAUAGCCCUGGGGCGAUACAGUGGAGUGGACUGAGGUUUCGCAGUGUGUGCUCUCGGGCAAGGCUGACUGGGUGCUAUGGGAUCGUUCGGCGUACAAUGCAUGCAUUUUGCGUCGUGUCUUUUUCAUACUCGCUCAACUCGGCUCUUCCACGCUUAGGAUGUUGACUUAAUAGUUUUAAACGACCCGUCUUGAAACACGGACCAAGGAGUCUAACAUAUAUGCAAGUGUUUGGGUGGCAAACCCAUGCGCGUAAUGAAAGUGAACGUAGAUGCGAUCCGCAAGGUGCAGCAUCGACCGAUCUUGAUAUUUUUGGAUAGAUUUGAGUAAGAGCAUAUAUGCUGGGACCCGAAAGAUGGUGAACUAUGCCUGAAUAGGGUGAAGCCAGAGGAAACUCUGGUGGAGGCUCGUAGCGAUUCUGACGUGCAAAUCGAUCGUCAAAUUUGGGUAUAGGGGUGAAAGACUAAUCGAACCAUCUAGUAGCUGGUUCCUGC